CUAAAAGACAAAAAUGAACAAACAGAAACAGACUCAUAAAUACAGAGGACAAACUGGUGGUUGCCAGAGGGGAAGGAGAUAGGGAGAUAGGCAAAAUAGAGGAAGGGAAUAAAGGAGUACAAACUUCCAACUAUAAAGUAGUUCAUGGGGAUGAAAAGUACAGCAUAGGAAAUAUAAUCAGUAAUAUAAUAACUAUAUGGUGACAGAAACUACUCAUUAUGGUGAGCAUUUCAUAAUAGAUACAAUUGUCAAAUCAUACAACUGAAAUUCCUAUAAUGCUGUAUGUCAAUUAUAUUUCAAUUAAAAUUUUUAAAAAAAUUGAGUUGUGAACCACUUUUCUCUGUAGAACUUAGCAGCUAGUAAGUGGCCUUUUAAAAUACUCUUGGUCUUUCUCCUUAAGUAUAAUGUAGUGCUUUCUUCAACAGGCUGGAGGUGUACUUUCCAAAGGGCAGGAGUCUGGACAGACACGACUACACAGAACAGCCUGGACCAUGCUUCUAGAAAGGUAUACUCAAAUGCACCUAAUCAGAAGACCUCCCACCCCACCCUACCCCUCAACCUCCACAGCCCACCUUGCUUCUCAUCAUACCUCUUACACCUGAACAGAGACCAGACCCAGACUGGGGCCCACAUCCAGGUCCCCAGAUGACUGAGAGAAACCAGUCGUAUCCUCAACCUGGAGGAGGCAUAUCUAGCUGAUGGGAUAGACUGAAAUGCUGCUGGACAUGAAGUGCUCAGCACCCAAGAAGUCUGAGACAUGCUGGGGAUUCAUGGCAAGUCAUCAUGUGGAAUAUUUAAGUAGGAUUUUGUCCUUUGGUCAGUGACAGAGAUGACUGCAAAGCUUAAGAGAGCUUCAAAGAAUUCCAGGAA